GGGAACAAAAUGAUCUUUGCUCUCGAGAGAACCUGCUUGCAGCCUUUCGUACAUCAGAAUCAAUAACGGCUCAAUCUCACAUGAAAGGUCCAAUGGUCUUUCUCGAUAAUGGAACGUUUUGAGUUUAGCAAUCAUUCGGCAUUGCCAUGGAAGAGCGAUUGAUAAAGAAAAUAGAGAAAAAAAAAAGCUUCCUUGAGAAAAAACAUACCCGAAACGACGCUUCUGUUUUCUUUCAUAUGUAAAUUGUCUAGACAAGUCUAGGCCGCGAUUCUCUGUACUGCAAAAUGUGAUGUUUGUUGUUCGUUUUGGGACACGGUCCACCUUGAUUUGUGCCAAGAAAAGUGGGGAAAAACACCCACAAACAAAUCACCUCAAGCUAAAGGAAUCGCUGGAUUGAAGUUCCACGAAAAGCGUCAUCAUUUGGGAACGAUCCUCGGAGAUCUGUCCAGAGCAGUGAUGAAGAAAUGAAGAAAGGUGGGAUUGAAUUUGUUCAAUCAAGUGUGGUGAGCUUUCUUGGGGUUCCUUCUUUGUGGUCCAACAUUCUCCAUCAUUUGGACAGAGCGUUGGACAAUCGGUGGAGUUAAGUACCGCAGAUGAGAUGAGGACACGGAACGAGCUUUCCUCGUACUUGUACUUCGACAAGAGCAUUACCCAACAUUCCCGGGCCAGUAAGGACACGCCUUUAAGCUCGACCGACUGGAUUGCAACAGCAACAGCAACAACAACAGCAACGACGGCAGCUUGUUUCCAUGUUCAAAGUGGAGCUGUUCUUUCCCUCUCAGAGCCCGCACCCGAUGAAGCUCGUUGCGCCACGGCAACGAGUACAACAAAACUGAGACUGAGGCAAGAAGGCAUGAAAGCAAGUAUUUUAGAGAAACCUCUACAGAUUAUUUCCGGCUAUUUUGCUGCCCUGACAUUAAUACAACAAGAAAGCGGAGGAUCGAUCAUUGUCAAUCGGAAGCAGGCAUGAAUUCGUCGAUUGAUGGAAGACAUUCGGGUUUGAGGAACGUCCCACGAUUAUCCCUCACAUGGACACAGUUAAAGGGGCGGACUCUCGGAGAGGGCUCAAGGGCUCCAUUCAGAAAUGAACAACGACCACAAAAGUUGGAACUCAUCUUCAUUUAUGAGGGACCCAAGAUCCAAAAAGAAGGUGCCUUCACUCAAUACUUGGAACAAGUCCUUGGACCACAGGGGAGACAAGGUUGUAUUUGCUCAUCAAGAGCUGACAAAUGAAACGAUAUGAGAUGAUCCAACUGGGGAUUACUAUGGCAUGUCAUUUCGACGAAGGAAACGACGAUCCAAAGAGAACAGGGCUCCACCCAAGGAGCGUGGUCAAUAUUGUCCUUUAAUGUGGCGAGGUAACGAGUGCUUGAUUAUCUGGCCAAUUUCUGUUGGCCGUCAAGUUUGUCUUGCUCUCCUCUCCUCUCUUCUUUUCUCCUCUUCCUUGCUCUCGUUCCCCUCUUCGUCAUCUUUCUCGAACCUUCGCUCGAAAUUCCACCGACCUUCAAGGCUAUCGGGCGUAUCGGAAUGACAUUCGUUUCCUACUUCUUCCAUACCCAAUACUACUACUCUAGCUCCUCUAGUGCAGUAUUGUGCCGUAAGUACUAUAUAUAUAUACUCGUUCGUAACGUAGUACUCUCUCAUUUCUGGUCAACUCGAGAGAAGUAAACACACGUCUCGAGAAACACUCUCCAGUCCAAGAGUCACACAACGUGUAAUAGGACAGUACACAACUCUGGUCCAAGAAGACAUACCCUUGUACUAAAGUCACUUUUUCGUCUGCUUCGUUUUCGUUUUCGUUUUCGUUUUCUUCCGUUCCGUUCCCUUUCUUCUUCUUUUCCAUAAGUAAAAGGAGAACAGAGAGUCUUGGAACCUCAAAGGACUGAAGGUGUCGAGUCAGCAAAGAUCUCGUUGACUGUCAAGUCAGCCAAUUGAGUCGAGCAGCGACCGGUCUCCAUUUAGUAUGGGUUCAUACGGUACCGAGACUGUGGAGUACUAUGUUUUGCUUUGUGGUCUCUUAUCCAUUGCCUUCAUUUCAGUGCCCUCUCAACAGAGAUCUACCAACGGAUAGACAGGGGCGUGGAGGCUCUCGGGGGAAAGUGGAGGAGAGCCCCUCCCUGUGCCAUGCCGAACAAGGACCCUUCGGACGAGAUGCCUCCCGCCACUUAAUUCAAUAACACCGAGGAGCCGGGCACAAUCUGGAACGAACAAAAAGAAGGCCUACUUUCUCCUCCUUAAACUCAGUUUUCUCCGAGUUGUUUCUUACUCACUUCCAAGGGAGCACUGUCUGUCAAGAAAUAAAUGCAUUAGGCUCUUCGUUACCUCUCGAGAAUUGAGCAUUAUUAUGGAAGACAACAAAUGCAGCAGCAGCAGCAGCAGCAGGAGCAGCAGCAAUACGUAGAGCAAGAACAAGAACACGGGCAAGAGCAGCAGCCCGCCGUCAAUGAGGUGAUCUGACAUUAAUUAGUUCUGUCACCACAGGCUUUUCCCAUCCACUCACAACAAUCGGGGCUCUUUCGCCCAUCCAUUGAGCUGGACUGGCUUCUGAGCCGAUAUUUACGUUAUGCAGACAGGGGUUGCCGUUGACAAAUGGGCCGGGCGGCUUUUGAGGACUCGACAUUGAAUUUAGCUGCCGAACCAAGAUCUGGGCGAACAAGAUUAAGGGCCCUUCCAAGAAGCCAAUUGGCAUUCGAAGGCACCACCAUUAGGAUCGAACACAAAACAUCUGCCUCUGUUGAAUUGCGUGAGACCAUCGAUAGACGACAUCGAUCGAUCAAUCGAUCUGCUUUCCAACACGCAUAAAUUAAAGCCAUCUCCAAACAUCGAGAGACUUCAAAAGUACCUUUCAUUAAUGUCCAUUCCAAAUUGUGUUUGACACGAACGAGCUCCAAAUUGAACAACAGGGUGACUAAAUGCCGUCACGUUAGAAAACCAGCAAUUGGUCUGCCCCAUAUGGCAUUUUAGAGCUCGUCAAAAGACGAGCUGAACACUGAAGGAAAAACUAGCUCAAAAGCCUGAGAAGCAUAUGACAAUGUUGUUUGUUGUCAAGUUCCAGUGGACCACGAUGUACAAACAGCACUUUGGAGAAUGUCAAGAAUGUUGUCGCGGACAUCUGCCUAUCGUAUAUUAAAUUUAGGAGAGGCUUGACAAGGUUUUCUAAUGGAGACCGACGGGUUAGAGAACCCAGUUAGACCGAAGGCCAGGCGACAGAUCAAGAGAUGGAGUGCUUGCUCGAAGCUUCGGCAUGUUCAGAGGAUGCCUCAAGUCCCCUUAUUUGAA